UACAGAGGAGCCAAGCGUUGUCCGGAUUUACUGGGCGUAAAGAGCGCGCAGGCGGUCGUUCAAGUCGCGUGUGAAAGCCCCCGGCUCAACUGGGGAGGGUCACGCGAUACUGAUCGACUCGAAGGCAGGAGAGGGAAGUGGAAUUCCCGGUGUAGUGGUGAAAUGCGUAGAUAUCGGGAGGAACACCAGUGGCGAAGGCGACUUCCUGGCCUGUUCUUGACGCUGAGGCGCGAAAGCUAGGGGAGCAAACGGG
rnacentral:rRNA from 1 species